UUACCUCUGCCAGCCGCUUAUGCUGCUGUUCUCUCAACCGCUGUGGGAGGUGUCUAAAACCAGCUGUAACCAAAUGUCUAUUUACGGGAACUGGUCUGGGUGCCCUGGCUUACAGGUUACCUUGUGCUAUACCUUUGAAACAAGGGACCUGUCCAGGUUUCCUUCUGAUGGCCAACCUACCUCUAAUGCUGACCAGUCUAUUUCACAUGAAGUGCUAAGUUUUCCUGGUGUCAUAGUAAUACCGUAAUCUCCCCUAAAUCCUUUCUUGAAAAUUUUCAAUAGUUCCUAGUGGGGUAGGCUUACUUUGUGCCUGACCCAUGCUUCUUUGAGACAAUUGCCCCAGUGAAACACCUCACCAAAGCAGCUCGUGGCAGACUCCCAUGGAGGAUCAAUGCAGUAGCUGAACACUGGGAAGGAACUGGCACUUGGAGUCCAGACAUCUGAAACUUGUUUGAAGUUUUCACAAAUGCCAUUGCAUUGGCCAUGCAUUGAGAUCUCACCAUGAGCCAAACUGCAUGUAAGAACCGUCUUGAGACACUGUGGUGACCACCAGAGCAACCCUGUGAGGCAGGCUGUCCUCAUCAUGCAGAUGAGGAACGUGAGGCUCAGACUGGCUGUCAGGCAGCAUGGAGCUGUGGAAGAACCUGGCCCAGAGCUUGGGGAGACUUAGUUUCCAAACUUUGACUCUUAUAAUGAUGGGACUUUGGGGAAAUUACUCAACUAAAGUCAUUGGAACCAGAAUGUUUGGAAAGAAAUCUAUGUUCAUCUUGGCAAAUCAUGCUGGCUUAGUGCAGUCAGAGGAGCACUGGUUCAUGAAUGUCUUGUUUCCUAUCAGAUACGCACAUAUUUAUGUGAACUUUGUGACCUUCUUGUUCCCUUUCUUCAGGACAUGGGGAGAGAAAGUGCUAAAGCAUACUUUUAAUUGUGCUGGUUCUGGAGUUUGGAAGAGCCUGUCCAAAGAACAAGCUGGACAUGAAUAACGUAUGACUUGUUCGGCCAAAAGCCCCACCACAAAAACCUCAUGGAGCUUGCUACACAUUAUUUUCCAAAUAUCAACUCCGAUUAAAAGGACUGUCUGGCCCACUGACAAUUAUU